GGAUAGUUUCAGCAGCGUCUGAGCAUCAGAGCACCAUCUCUUGUGCUAGGAGCAAGCAUACUGGAGAGUGAGCUGACAAUCUGGAAUUGAGAGUUGUCUUGCUCCAUGAAAUCCUGCCAUAGUGUUCCUGUCUUGGAGCCAGCCUGACCUGGACUGCAACCAUGUUGCUCAAGGACCAAAUAUUUCAGUAAAUUGAGGCCUGCCCAGGACACGACCAGUGACCUUCUCCAAACCGGGAAGCUCAGCUGGCAUCUGGAGUGAAUCCACGCCAUCCCUAACCCUAGGGAGACAUUAAGAUCAUUUCAUCCAGAGCUCAAGGACCUGCUCAGAGCCCAGGCACACUAGACUACCUAUGGGAGGUUUUGUAGACCAACUAUAUUAUGCCCAGUGACCUUUAAAUACAGGAUUUGAGAGCAGGUGAAGUGAGUUCCAGGACACUGGUCUUGACCCGGGGAGAGCUUCUCCCUAUCAUCCACAGUGCUGCCCAGCUACUGGAAACACAGGAGGUGGAACGGCAGGGCCUGAAGGCCUAACUGGACCAGGCUCAGCAACUUUCAUUCAGUCCCAGGAAUCUAGGGCAUGGGAGACGAUUUCCAACACAUCCAGGGGAAGCCUUGGAACAACACUUGAAGCAUGGAAAUAUAGGAAAAUAACAAAGAAAAGACCAAAAUGCAAUCUGAAACGGCCAGCCCGUCCCAAGAAAUCUUAGGAGCUAUGUACAUAGAAGAAAAUAUAUGCCACACAUCUGAAAUAUCUGAAAUAAUAGCAACUGAAAUAAGGAAGUGACUCCAGGAAGCUUUAAAGGAAUUCAAACUAGAAAUAGUCUCCCAGGUAAAAGAAGAAAUAAUAAAAGGAAUGGAAGAAAUGCUGAUAGCUAAAGAAGACACAGCUAAAAAAUUGGAGGAACUAAACAAAAACAUAGAAUCCCUGGAUGAACAAUGUAAGAAACAAACAGAAAACAUACAGCAGAUGCAAAGAUCUUAGGUUUCUCCUGCCGCAGCCUUCUAGAGUCCUGGGAUUGCAGGCAUCUACCACCACCACUGGCUUAUCAUUGGUGUUGAAGGACAGAUUUUCUAGAUGAAGAAUCCUUGAUUGACAGUUUUCUUUUUCUUUUUUCUUGGUACCAAGAAUUGAAUUUACAGCCUUGGCUUGCCUGCAGGCAUUGUGCCACUGAGCUAUAUCCAUUGCCCAACAGGUUUGUCUUUCUAUAUUGUAAGGACAUCAUCCCACUGCUGUUGGCCUUUAAGGUUUCUGAUGUGAGGUUAACUGAGAAUCAUUUUCUGGGAUGAGUCACUUCUCUUUGCUGUUUGAAAGAUUUUCUUUUUGUGUUUUAACAGUUUCUUGUAGUAAGUAUUCUUCUGAGUUUUGAAUUUAACCUGCCUAAAAACUUUGAGUUUAUUGGGAUUGUAUAUUCUUAUAGUUCAUCAGACUUGGGAAGUGUGGGGCCAUAGUUUAUUGGAAAUGUUUUUGGUUCUUUCUUCUGUAUCUCAAACUUCCCUUCUGUAUAUUCUUGAUAAUGUUCUAUAGGACCCUUAGGCUUUGUUCAUUUUUCUUUCUUCCUUUCAUUUCUCAGGUGGGGUUAUUGCAUUUUUCUGAAAAUUUCACUAGUUCUUUUCUUCUGUUUGCUCAAAUCUGUGGUUGAACUUUGUUAGUGAAUUUUUCAUUUCAACUAUUAUAAGUAAGCGCCAGAAGUAAAACUUUUUGUUUUUAUGAAUAUUCUUUACUUUGUUGUACAUCAUGUCUGGUUUCAUUUAGUUGUUUGUCAGUUCACUUCAGUGUUUUGAGCAUUUUAAAUAUGGUGGAUUUAAAAUCUUUGGUUAGUCUAGCCAAUCUCUAGGAUGUUCAAAAAUGUUUUAUGUAAAUUUCAUU